rnacentral:tRNA from 1 species
GGUUUCGUAGCUCAGCUGGUAGAGCGCACCCAGCAUUGAGGCAUGCUGUGUCUGUCGCAGGUUCGAAUCCAGCCGAAGCCC